GAGGUGAUUUAGUGGCCAAAAUAUAGGUUUUAUAUACCUAAGGUGGUGGUUGUAGGAUUCAAUCACACCUCA
rnacentral:tRNA from 1 species